rnacentral:rRNA from 1 species
CCUACGGGUGGCAGCAGUCGAGAAUCAUUCACAAUGGGGGAAACCCUGAUGGUGCGACGCCGCGUGGGGGAAUGAAGGUCUUCGGAUUGUAAACCCCUGUCAUGUGGGAGCAAAUUAAAAAGAUAGUACCACAAGAGGAAGAGACGGCUAACUCUGUGCCAGCAGCCGCGGUAAUACAGAGGUCUCAAGCGUUGUUCGGAAUCACUGGGCGUAAAGCGUGCGUAGGCUGUUUCGUAAGUCGUGUGUGAAAGGCGCGGGCUCAACCCGCGGACGGCACAUGAUACUGCGAGACGAGAGGAAUGGUGGGGGAACCGGAAUUCUCGGUGUAGCAGUGAAAUGCGUAGAUAUCGAGAGGAACACUCGUGGCGAAGGCGGGUUCCUGGACAUUAACUGACGCUGAGGCACGAAGGCCAGGGGAGCGAAAGGGAUUAGAUACCCCAGUAGUC